rnacentral:rRNA from 1 species
CCUACGGGUGGCAGCAGUCGAGAAUCAUUCACAAUGGGGGAAACCCUGAUGGUGCGACGCCGCGUGGGGGAAUGAAGGCCUUCGGAUUGUAAACCCCUGUCAUGUGGGAGCAAAUUAAAAAGAUAGUACCACAAGAGGAAGAGACGGCUAACUCUGCGCCAGCAGCCCCGGUAAUACAGAGGUCUCAAGCGUUGUUCGGAAUCACUGGGAGUAAAGCGGGCGUAGGUUGAUACGUAAGUCGUGUGCGAAAGGCGCGGGCUCAACCCGCGGACGGCAAAUGAUAAUGCGCGACUAGGGUGAUGGAGGGGGAACCGGAAUUCUCGGUGUAGCGGUGAAAUGCGUAGAUAUCGAGAGGAACACUCGUGGCGAAGGCGGGUUCCUGGACAUUAACUGACGCUGAGGCACGAAGGCGAGGGGAGCGAAAGGGAUUAGAUACCCCAGUAGUC